UAUUGGGCGUAAGGGCUCGCAGGCGGUUUCUUAAGUCUGAUGUGAAAGCCCCCGGCUCAACCGGGGAGGGUCAUUGGAAACUGGGGAACUUGAGUGCAGAAGAGGAGAGUGGAAUUCCACGUGUAGCGGUGAAAUGCGUAGAGAUGUGGAGGAACACCAGUGGCGAAGGCGACUCUCUGGUCUGUAACUGACGCUGAGGAGCGAAAGCGUGGGGAGCGAACAGGAUUAGAUACCCUGGUAGUCCACGCCGUAAACGAUGAGUGCUAAGUGUUAGGGGGUUUCCGCCCCUUAGUGCUGCAGCUAACGCAUUAAGCACUCCGCCUGGGGAGUACGGUCGCAAGACUGAAACUCAAAGGAAUUGACGGGGGCCCGCACAAGCGGUGGAGCAUGUGGUUUAAUUCGAAGCAACGCGAAGAACCUUACCAGGUCUUGACAUCCUCUGACAAUCCUAGAGAUAGGACGUCCCCUUCGGGGGCAGAGUGACAGGUGGUGCAUGGUUGUCGUCAGCUCGUGUCGUGAGAUGUUGGGUUAAGUCCCGCAACGAGCGCAACCCUUGAUCUUAGUUGCCAGCAUUCAGUUGGGCACUCUAAGGUGACUGCCGGUGACAAACCGGAGGAAGGUGGGGAUGACGUCAAAUCAUCAUGCCCCUUAUGACCUGGGCUACACACGUGCUACAAUGGACAGAACAAAGGGCAGCGAAACCGCGAGGUUAAGCCAAUCCCACAAAUCUGUUCU
rnacentral:rRNA from 1 species